AAUAAAUGGAAGAAAAAUAAAAGACCCUGAAUACAUACUGAUUGCCCACAUUUUUUAUGUGUAUUUGAGACCCUUCUUUAAUACAUUGAAUGUUUGCGGCAUAUGAAUUUAUAAUAUGAGAUAAUGCUAUUUACAGAUGUGCAUACCAACAAGAAUGUGAACUUUUCAAAGAGCAUGAUAUUUCCAAUUUUCCACAUCUCUAGACCAGUGACCACAAAUGUACAUACAAGUACCCACAGAUGACAGCCAUAUUGACUCCAGUAGAUAAUAUUCAUCUCCAUCAGCUGGUUACUACGCUGUACAUAGUGGUCAAACCAGGAUAUCCACUAAUUGCAUUCAGUGAUGUGAAUUGUCAUCUACAUUUGUGCUUAUGAACUUUAGUAAACUGUCAAGUUUUAAUAUCAAGAAAAUGACUGCUGAAAAAGCAUCUAAUCUUGUGUUCUAUGAAUGUUUUCAAUUAAACACAAAACAAAAUGAGAAA